AUUUGCGACCAUGGAAGAGUCAAGACCCACGAAGACACUCUUGUGAGAUAAAGUCAUAUGGGUUGAUGCAUACACGUGGUCACAACAAUGAAGCUUCUGCAUCGCGCCGGAGGUUGAAGGUCUUUGCUCAGAGCUAACAAGCCAGACAGCUAGCAAUUUAAGCAGAUUUUCAAGUUGCAGGUUGGCAGAGUGUUAUCAUUCUUGAAACCACUUAUAAAAACUGCCUAAAAGAAGUGUUAUAAGUGUAUUUUUUCAAUUAGCAUAGGGUUUUGUAUUUUAUUGUGAAGCUCAGUUACUAGUUAGCACUUUGGAUCUGAAGCAAAGGAGACACAUACUGCCAUGCUUGUUCCCAGGCGUUAUUUGAUCGGACUCUUUACGUUUUUAAUUUUCCUUGGAGUUUGGGCUCAACCGUCUCAGAUAGACCAACCCAUUGCCUUUGGAAAGCCGUGCAUUCAUGGAUUUUGCUGGAAGAUGCAGAAAAGUAUAAUACUAAAUGCUAAAACUACUUAAAGCCUCCAGUUGCAUAAUAAACACUAUUAAUUUUUGAA